rnacentral:rRNA from 1 species
CUCGACAACGGAUAUCUUGGCUCUUGCAUUGAUGAAGAACGUAGUGAAAUGCAAUACUUGGUGUGAACUGCAGAAUUCGUGAACCAUCAAGUUUUUGAACGCAAGUUGCGCCCAAAGCCUUCUGGCCAAGGGCACGUCUUCUUGGGCAUCAUG